GGUCUUUAAGUAUAACGGUAGUACUGCUACCCUUCAAGUAGCGAGAAUCAGUUCGAUCCUGAUAAAGAUCA
rnacentral:tRNA from 1 species